rnacentral:rRNA from 1 species
UACGGGGGGGGCAAGCGUUGUUCGGAAUUACUGGGCGUAAAGGGCGCGUAGGCGGUUGGAUAAGUCAGCUGUGAAAACCACGGGCUUAACUCGUGGCCUGCAGUUGAGACUGUCUGGCUUGAGUGUGGGAGAGGAGAGUGGAAUUCCUGGUGUAGCGGUGAAAUGCGUAGAUAUCGGGAGGAACAUCUGUGGCGAAGGCGACACCCUGGACCAGCACUGACACUGAGGCACGAAAGCGUGGGGAGCAAACAGG